AAAUUACUUUGGCUUUUAAGAUCUCGUUGCGGUUCUAGUUCUUAUACUUAAUCAUACACAUGACAUCUAGUCAUAUUCGACUCCAAAACACUAACCAAGCUUCUUCCUGCUUCUCAAAGCUUUGAUGGUGUAGCUGAAGCCCGUA
rnacentral:sRNA from 1 species